rnacentral:rRNA from 1 species
UACGAAGGGUGCAAGCGUUACUCGGAAUUACUGGGCGUAAAGCGUGCGUAGGUGGUUUGUUAAGUCUGCUGUGAAAGCCCCGGGCUCAACCUGGGAAUGGCAGUGGAUACUGGCAAGCUAGAGUGCGGUAGAGGGUAGUGGAAUUCCCGGUGUAGCGGUGAAAUGCGUAGAUAUCGAGAGGAACACCUGCGGCGAAGGCGGGUUGCUGGGCUGACACUGACGCUGAUGCGCGAAAGCCAGGGGAGCGAACGGG